rnacentral:tRNA from 1 species
GGGGAUAUAGCUCCGUUGGUAAAGUGCUUGCCUCCUACGUACAAAGCCCUGGGUUCGACCCCCAGCAUCACCA